UUCAAUCAUGAAAAAAAAAAAGGUAAAUAUUUCUACACUUUUUGGGAUUUAGAUAACAAAUCUAUAUAAUUAAAAUUCAAUUAUUUUCUAUUUGAGGGUUGCUUGUAUGCACAAAAUUCUAUGUACUUAGGACAACCAAAUUAAUUGUACAUUGCAUGCAACCAAUAAUCAAGAAAAUGUAUCUUUCAGAAAAAUAAUUAAGAAAAAUGCACAUUGAUGAUCAAGGAAAAGCUUGCUCUAAUUGGACAAGUGUUAGUGGUUGAAGUUUCUUAAUACUUGACAAAAUGGAACAAAAACAGGAAAAAAUGAAGGAAAAAAACUCAAAAUUUGUGGUCCAAAGUUAUUUGGUUACUAAAUGAGGAAACCAAUCAAACAAUACAUGAGACAAGGGUUGGCAGAACCAAACCUGAAAUUUUUUCAUUCAGCCCUUGGUCCAAGGCUAGAUUGAUGCUCUAAAUGCUUGGACCAUUCCCAUUACAGCAUGUCUUAUCAUCAAAGUUUUUGUCUGAAAAUAAAAAAUAGUGUACUAAAAAAUUUUCAAAAAUGCUUUUUUAAAUAUAGGUAGGUAGGUAGGACAAUCUCAUGACAAAUUAUAUUUCUUGUAUUUUUUUGGGAUUUUACUCACUUUGUAAUUAUGAUUUAAAAUCAUGGUUGCCAAAGAAAUUUAGAUUUUAUUAGAUAAGAAUGAUAAAAAGAGAUAAG
rnacentral:lncRNA from 1 species